GACCGCCUGGGGAGUACGGCCGCAAGGUUAAAACUCAAAUGAAUUGACGGGGGCCCGCACAAGCGGUGGAGCAUGUGGUUUAAUUCGAUGCAACGCGAAGAACCUUACCUACUCUUGACAUCCAGAGAACUUUCCAGAGAUGGAUUGGUGCCUUCGGGAACUCUGAGACAGGUGCUGCAUGGCUGUCGUCAGCUCGUGUUGUGAAAUGUUGGGUUAAGUCCCGCAACGAGCGCAACCCUUAUCCUUUGUUGCCAGCGGUCCGGCCGGGAACUCAAAGGAGACUGCCAGUGAUAAACUGGAGGAAGGUGGGGAUGACGUCAAGUCAUCAUGGCCCUUACGAGUAGGGCUACACACGUGCUACAAUGGCGCAUACAAAGAGAAGCGACCUCGCGAGAGCAAGCGGACCUCAUAAAGUGCGUCGUAGUCCGGAUUGGAGUCUGCAACUCGACUCCAUGAAGUCGGAAUCGCUAGUAAUCGUAGAUCAGAAUGCUACGGUGAAUACGUUCCCGGGCCUUGUACACACCGCCCGUCACACCAUGGGAGUGGGUUGCAAAAGAAGUAGGUAGCUUAACCUUCGGGAGGGCGCUUACCACUUUGUGAUUCAUGACUGGGGUGAAGUCGUAACAAGGUAACCGUAGGGGAACCUGCGGUUG
rnacentral:rRNA from 1 species